rnacentral:lncRNA from 1 species
GGGAUAUCCAACCUAUAUCAAGCGACAGCAUAAAGAUAAGUUAGAGGCUGGGUCUAUUAGGGCUCGAUUCAUAAGAUAUAUUAAGGAAUCCAUGUGAUACUAUUUUUAUUUUCUAAAGGAUCACAAUAUAAUUGUGAGUCAUCAUGCUGUCUUCUUGAAAAAAUAGUUUAUCCAAGAUGGAGGUAAUGAAAAAAAAAUUAAGCUC